rnacentral:rRNA from 1 species
AAACUUAAAUGAAGUUGACGGGGCCCGCACAAGCGGUGGAGCAUGUGGUUUAAUUCGAAGCAACGCGAAGAACCUUACCAGGUCUUGACAUCCCCUGACAACCCGAGAGAUCGGGCGUUCCCCUUCGGGGGACAGGGUGACAGGUGGUGCAUGGUUGUCGUCAGCUCGUGUCGUGAGAUGUUGGGUUAAGUCCCGCAACGAGCGCAACCCUCGACCUUAGUUGCCAGCAUUCAGUUGGGCACUCUAGCGAGACUGCCGGUAAUAAACCGGAGGAAGGUGGGGAUGACGUCAAAUCAUCAUGCCCCUUAUGACCUGGGCUACACACGUGCUACAAUGGUUGGUACAACGAGUUGCGAGUCGGUGACGGCGAGCUAAUCUCUUAAAGCCAAUCUCAGUUCGGAUUGUAGGCUGCAACUCGCCUACAUGAAGUCGGAAUCGCUAGUAAUCGCGGAUCAGCACGCCGCGGUGAAUACGUUCCCGGGCCUU